GUUAAGUUAGAAAGGGCGCACGGUGGAUGCCUUGGCACUAGGAGCCGAUGAAGGACGGGACAAACACCGAUAUGCUUCGGGGAGCUGUAAGUAAGCGUUGAUCCGGAGAUUUCCGAAUGGGGGAACCCACUGUCCGUAAUGGGGCAGUAUCCAUACGUGAAUCCAUAGCGUAUGGAGGGCAUACCCGGGGAACUGAAACAUCUAAGUACCCGGAGGAGAAGAAAGCAAAAGCGAUUCCCUAAGUAGCGGCGAGCGAAACGGGAACAGCCCAAACCAAGAGGCUUGCCUCUUGGGGUUGUAGGACACUCAAUACGGAGUGACAAAGGAACGGAGUAGACGAAGCGGUC
rnacentral:rRNA from 1 species